UUUUCUAUUAUUGUUAUUUUUUUUUUACUUUGUCGGUGAGAUUUCAACCUAGAUUAGAACACGAUGUGAUUUUCUUCAUUUUAUGUAACAGACCAUCUACUGACCUUAAACGCUCUCUGAAUUGGGAAUUUCGUCUGUCUUAAAGAUAACGUAGUAUAGAAAGAUCAAAAUUCACAAUUGGCAACUAUUGGGUUGAAAUUGUAUUUUAAGAACAGCAUACUUUAUCGACUAUUUACGUCAGUCAAUACAAAAUAAAAUUUUUUUAGUGCGCUUAAAAGUGUCACAUCACUUGGUUUAUUAUAACGCUCUUUUCGCUGCGCAUUAUUGACCUGUAACUCCAUUAGUACACAAGAGGGCGCUAUGAGUCUUGACAUAAUUUUUUUUGGGGUGGUGCAGAUAAAGAAUAUGGAAUUUUCGCCUUCAUUUUCACUUUUUUUUAUUUUGUGUUUCUUUUUUCGUAUAUAUGUCGAUUGAAUGCUGUUUGAUGAUUAUUGUAGGCCAAUAUAUAAUCAUGAUCACUGUUGAACUACUGUGUUAAUCCAUAAAUACAAGAAAUCCAUUUAUCAUAAAUUUUAAUUUACUGAUUUCGCACAUGCCACAGCUGUCGUGUUUUAUGUGCAUCACUUGUAUGUCACUUUGGAUUAAACAUCUGCCAGAUAAAUAAACCUUCCCACAGCUUCCUGGUCAGGAUCUCGGAGCCUGGAGCCUGUAUCAGGCAGCAAAGGGGCCACUGAAUGGGAGGCCGGGACACUGCAGGAAAAAUAAUACAGUUAUAACUGUAGCAUAGAAAUAUCAAUAGUCCUGGAUUAUGUGGCUUGGAUGUGUCUGGUGCUCCUGCUUCUGUAGAUUAAUGAUGUUUAGCCAGUUACAUUUUGCCCUGUUAUCAUUAUUAAUCAAGUCAAUCAGGGCAGAGAUCGCAUGUAAUUUGAUAGUAAGUUAAACCCUUUUCUGCCUUUAAACCACUUAUAAGAUUUACAUAUCAGUGUUUUAUUUUUGCUAAUUGGUUCCUGUGUGAUUUGAUGGGGAUCCAUAUUGUUUCUGAUAUAUAAAGGUUUUGUCAUGAUGAAGUCAGACUUUAAAGGUAUAACUUUAGAGAGCUACAUGGUCAAUGUGCACAUAAGGCAGAUCUGAAGAUUUAUAGGAAAAAAAACGAGACGCCCUUAAGCCAGACAAACAUCACUGUACUGCUGCCUGCAGAUUCACAUGGAAAAAUGUAAAGAUUAUAACAUUACCUUCACAGUA